rnacentral:lncRNA from 1 species
AUUAUUAAAAAUUUAAAUUAAAUGUUCGUUUACAAAUUUUUUAUAAAAAAAGAAAAUUAUUCGUGAGUUUUUGAGCCAGUCGAAUAAUUCGCGAAUUAUUUCUAAAUUAUCGAAAAUCUAAAUAAAAAAACUUAUAAUUUUUAUGUUUAAAUAUAGAUUAUCUUAUAUUUUAUAUUUUAUAUCGAAUCCGAUUUUUAUGCCAAAUUUUUCAACAAAUUUAAAAAUUAAAAAACAAAUUUUAUACGGAUUAUAUUUAUACCAAAUUUUUGCCGAAUUCGAAUUAACUAACUAUG